AAGGAUGGACUCGCGGCCUAUCANGUANUUGGUGAGGUAACGGCUCACCAAGCCUACGACGGGUAGCCGGCCUGAGAGGGUGACCGGCCACACUGGGACUGAGACACGGCCCAGACUCCUACGGGAGGCAGCAGUGGGGAAUAUUGCACAAUGGGCGCAAGCCUGAUGCAGCAACGCCGCGUGAGGGAUGACGGCCUUCGGGUUGUAAACCUCUUUUAGUAGGGAAGAAGCGAAAGUGACGGUACCUGCAGAAAAAGCACCGGCUAACUACGUGCCAGCAGCCGCGGUAAUACGUAGGGUGCGAGCGUUGUCCGGAAUUAUUGGGCGUAAAGAGCUCGUAGGCGGUCUGUCGCGUCUGCUGUGAAAACCCGAGGCUCAACCUCGGGCCUGCAGUGGGUACGGGCAGACUANAGUGCGGUAG
rnacentral:rRNA from 1 species